rnacentral:rRNA from 1 species
AUGUCAACAUGAGCAAACUUGGGCCUUCAAGACAGAGCUUCCCCAUUAAUAGAACAAUUAACCUUCUUUCACGAUCACACUCUCCUUAUCUUGAUCAUAAUUACCAUUUUAGUAGGUUAUAUUAUAUCAAUACUAUUCUUCAAUAUCUACACCAACCGAUUCCUUCUUCAUGGACAAACGAUUGAAAUAAUUUGAACCAUCCUCCCUGCCAUUGUCUUAUUAUUUAUCGCUUUUCCUUCUUUACGGUUACUCUAUUUAUUAGACGAAAUUAACGAACCUAUUAUUACAUUAAAAACAAUUGGCCACCAAUGGUACUGAAGUUAUGAAUAUUCAGACUUCAUUGACCUAGAAUUUGAUUCAUACAUAAUUCCUUCUAAUGAACUUCCUAUCGAUGGAUUCCGCUUAUUAGAUGUUGAUAACCACAUCGUUUUGCCCAUAAAUACUCAAAUUCGAAUUCUAGUUACAGCAGCAGACGUAAUUCAUUCAUGAACCAUCCCAGCUCUAGGUAUCAAAGUUGACGGAACUCCUGGACGAUUAAACCAAACAAAUUUCACCAUUAAUCGUCCAGGGCUAUAUUACGGCCAAUGUUCAGAAAUUUGUGGAGCAAAUCACAGAUUCAUACCAAUCGUAAUUGAAAGUGUACCAGCUAACUACUUCAUUAAAUGAUUACUU